rnacentral:rRNA from 1 species
CCUACGGGAGGCAGCAGUGAGGAAUAUUGGUCAAUGGGCGCGAGCCUGAACCAGCUAAGCCGCGUGAAGGAUGACGGCCCUAUGGGUUGUAAACUUCUUUUAUAGAGGAAUAAAGUGCGGCACGUGUGCCUUUUUGCAUGUAUUUUAUGAAUAAGGAUCGGCUAACUCCGUGCCAGCAGCCGCGGUAAUACGGAGGAUCCGAGCGUUAUCCGGAUUUAUUGGGUUUCAAGGGAGCGUAGAUGGGUUGUUAAGUCAGUUGUGAAAGUUCGCGGCUCAACCGUAAAAUUGCAAUUGAUACUGGCAGACUUGAGUACAGUUGAGGUAGGCGGAAUUCGUGGUGUAGCGGUGAAAUGCUUAGAUAUCACGAAGAACUCCGAUUGCGAAGGCAGCCUACUAGACUGCCACUGACAUUGAUGCUCGAAAGUGUGGGUAUCAAACAGGAUUAGAUACCCGUGUAGUC